AACGCACAUUGCGCCCCUUGGUAUUCCAUGGGGCAUGCCUGUUCGAGCGUCAUUUGUACCCUCAAGCUUUGCUUGGUGUUGGGCGUCUUGUCUGUGUAUUCAGACUCGCCUUAAAGUGAUUGGCAGCCAUUGUUUUUGGUAGUAAGCGCAGCACAUUUUGCGUCUUAGUCUCUAAACUGUGGCAUCCAUGAAGCCUCUUUUUUCACUUUUGACCUCGGAUCAGGUAGGGAUACCCGCUGAACUUAA
rnacentral:misc_RNA from 1 species